UGCUGCCUACGGGACGCAGCAGUGAGGAAUAUUGGUCAAUGGGCGCGAGCCUGAACCAGCCAAGUCGCGUGAGGGAAGACGGUCCUAUGGAUUGUAAACCUCUUUUGUCAGGGAGCAAUUGGCGCUACGUGUAGCGUUAUCGAGAGUACCUGAAGAAAAAGCAUCGGCUAACUCCGUGCCAGCAGCCGCGGUAAUACGGAGGAUGCGAGCGUUAUCCGGAUUUAUUGGGUUUAAAGGGUGCGUAGGCGGAAUGCCAAGUCAGCGGUAAAAUCGCGGGGCUCAACCUCGCUCCGCCGUUGAAACUG
rnacentral:rRNA from 1 species